rnacentral:tRNA from 1 species
CCGCCCUUAGCUCAGAUGGAUAGAGCAACGGAUUCCGGAUCCGCAGGUCGGAGGUUCGAGUCCUCUAGGGCGGGC